AUACUCAUGAAAUAAAGAAUACAUUAUAUUUUGUAAUCAUUUGUAGUGAAUGUUGUCUUUGGUAGUAUACUAAAUUGAGGUAAUAGGAAGGAAGGGAAAUGCGGGAAUGUAAUGAAUUAGGCUUAGAUGGCACAACAAGAAGAGAUAAAAUGGCAAAUAGCUUUGAGGGGCCACUUUGUUCUCUCUUUUAAUUUAUAAAAAAUAAUAAAUAGAUAUGAUCUGAUAGCUCCAAAGAAUUUGUCUUUUCUGUUAAUUUGAGACUGAUGAGAUUGGUCAUGGGGGCCAGGACUUAUGGAGGUUUGGAGUUGGAAAGUAAGGAGGAUGAUAUUGUAACUUAAUUAAUUUAAACAUAAUUUCUUAAUUACAUGUGUUAAUUUUAUAAUAAAACAUUCCGACCUUUGAUUACAAGAAUUAAUGGCAAAGAUGGAAGUUGCAUGUAACACACAAACAUGUUAGGAGCAUGUAAGAAUUCACCUCUAAUCAUAUAUGUAUAUAUGCAUACUCACAUGGAAGACUUAUGUUUACCAAGGUCUGCUUAAAAAUACUAAAAAAUUGUCACAACCACCCACCAAAUGCCUCUGUUCUUGAAAGGUAGGCCUACCCCAAUCAUUUUUUUAUUCUUCUAAUUUGUUUUCUAAUGGCUCGUUCUUUGGGAGUAAUGAGCACGAGAUUCCAAAACUAUGUUAAAGUGAUUCAAAUUGCAAUUUGUGAACUUGCAUGUUCAACGCAUUCACAUUCUCACUCAAAAACAGUUUCAUAAUAUAGUCAACUUGCAUGUGCAUAGCAUUCAGUCCAACAUCUGAGCUUUCAUUCGUUCUAGCUUUUCAAAUGGCUGAAUCUCUACUUCAAAUGGUGAUUGAAAACUUGCAAGCUUUUGUUCAGGACGAGCUUGCAACUCUUUGGGGCGUCCAUUCGCAGAUUCAAGAGCUGUCAGGGAACCUUGCUGCAAUCCAUGCAGUGCUCCAAGAUGCUGAAGAGAAGCAGAUCAGAGAGCGUGCUGUGAAGCUUUGGCUGCAGAAGCUUUCAGAUGCAGCACACGUGCUUGAUGAUAUCUUAGAUGAAUGUUCAAUAGAGUCCAACCGUCUACACAGUGAGCAGUGCUUAACUCGUCUUGAUCCUGUGACGAUUAUGUUUCGUCGAGACAUCGGUAAGAGGAUGAAAGAGAUGGUUGACAGGUUUCGUCAAAUUGAUGAAGAAAGGAGAAGGUUUGAAUUGCGUGGAAGAGUUCCAGAGAGGCAACAAGAAGAUGAAGCAUGGCGCCAGACAUGUUCUGGUAUCACGGAGCACAAUAUCUAUGGAAGGGAGCAAGACACAGAAAAUAUUGUGGAGUUUCUUUCAAGGAGUGCUGAUAGCAGUAACAACCUCUCUGUUUAUCCAAUUGUUGGCAUGGGGGGCCUUGGAAAAACAACUCUUGUCCGAUGGGUUUACAAUGACAAGAAGGUAAUUGAACAUUUCGAUCUGAGAAUUUGGGUUUGUGUUUCCACUGAAUUCAAUACCAUGAGAAUUCUAGAGUCCAUUGUGGAAUCUAUAAGUGGACAUAACCCAAACCUCUCUACUUUAGAAGCACUGAAAAACAAAGUUCAAGAAAUACUGCUAGGCAAAAGGUAUUUACUUGUUCUAGACGAUAUGUGGAGCACGGACAAAUGGGAGGACUUGAAGUCUGUUUUGCUUUGCGGAGGUGGGACAAAAGGUGCUGCAGUUUUGGUCACUACCCGAGUUGAGAGUGUUGCAUCUGUCAUGGGAACAUGCCCUGCUCAUCACUUGUCACCAUUAUCCGAGGAUGACAAUUGGUUAUUGUUCAAAUACCAUGCAUUUGGAUCAGACAAAGUGGAGCGCACAGAGCUUGUGGCAAUAGGCAAGGAGAUUGUAAAGAAAUGUGGUGGUUCCCCUCUUGCAUCUAAAGCACUUGGAAGCCUUUUGCGCAAUAAAAAGGAGGAAAUACAGUGGGUGAAUGUAUUGGAAAGUAAGUUUUGGGACAUACUUGAGGAUGAUGCUAUUAUUGUACGUGCUUUGAAAAUCAGCUACUUCAAUUUGAAGUUGUCAUUAAGACAAUGCUUUGCUUUCUGUGCCAUUUUCCCCGAAGAUUUUCGAAUGGAAAAGGAACAACUUAUUCAUCUUUGGAUGGCCAAUGGUUUGAUCAAAUCCAAAGGGAAGUUGGAGAUUGAGGAUGUUGGUAAUGUGGCUUGGGAGGAAUUAUGUCAGAGAUCAUUUUUCCAAGAAGUUGAGAUUGAUGAAUUGGGAAGAACUACAUUCAAGAUGCAUGAUUUAUUUCAUGAACUUGCCCAAUCCAUAAUGGGAGAAGAGUGCAGAGUUUAUGAUGAGUCUGCAAGCUUGACCAAUUUGUCUACAAGGGUCCACCAUGUCACUUGUUUAAAACCAGAGAUGGAGGUAAACAUGGAUCCCUUCAAGAAAGCUGAAUCCUUGAGGAGUAUGAUUAAUCUUCUUCCAUUAGAUGAUCAUCGCAAUCUUAAUGGGUUGCCACCAUUCAAUUCUCUCCGUGCACUACGUACAAAUGCUUCUCAACUCUCAGCACUGAAGAGUUUAACGCAUUUGAGGUACCUAAAUCUGCGUAGGAGUGGUAUCACAACACUGCCUAAAUGUGUUUCGAGGUUACAAAAAUUGCAGAUUCUGAAGUUAGAAGACUGUCUAAAUCUUUCUUGUUUGCCCAAACACGUAACACAAUUGAAGGAUCUUAGACAUCUCCUAAUUGAAGAAUGUCAUUCAUUAGUAGAGAUGCCUCCGACUAUCGGCGAGUUGAAAUGUUUGAGAACAUUGAAUCUUUUUAUUGUGGAUAAAAAGGCAGGGUAUGGGUUGUCAGAGUUACGUGAUUUACAGCUUGGAGGCAAACUACACAUCAAGGGGAUUGAAAAUGUCAUAAACGAGGGUGAUGCUAGAGAUGCUAAUUUGAGUGCUAAGAAGAAGUUGGAAAAGUUAUACCUGUCAUGGGGCUCCUCUGAUUCAAGGUUUGGUGCCAAUGCUGAGAGAAUACUUGAAGCCCUUGAGCCUCCCUCCAAUCUCAAGAGUUUUGGGAUGAAUGGUUACAGCGGAGUAGAGUUGCCUAGCUGGAUGCAAAAUACUUCAAUUCUUUCCAGCUUAGUUAUGGUGAUACUCUAUGAUUGCAAGAACUGCAAGCACCUUCCUCCGCUUGGUAAACUACCACAUUUAACCGUUCUUUAUAUAUCUGGAAUGAAAGAUGUGAAGUACAUCGAUGAGCACUCAUAUGAUGGCGUGGAUGAGAAGGCAUUCAAAUCGUUGAAGGACCUGACCUUAUCAAAGUUGCCAAACUUGGAAGGGAUGGUACAAGACAAAAGAGUAGAAAUGCUUCCACUUCUUUCUAGCAUAAACGUUUCUUGUGUUCCUAAGAUUAAAUUGCCACUCCUUCCAUCUCUAGAGCACAUUUGUAUUGAAGGAACAGAGUCAGACUCUGAUCAUGGUGAUAGCGAAGACAUGGCUUUGUCUUUCCCGGAAGCUAUUGUGGAGAAUAUGCAUCGUGUUAAGGUCCUCCAUAUUAAACACUUUCCUACACUCAAGGCAUUACCCCAUGAACUAGGCAGCCUCAAUUCACUACAAGAGUUAGAACUCUACUAUUUUGAUAGACUCGAGUCUUUUUCAGAGAACGUGGUGCAAGGUUUGGGUUCACUUCGAACUUUGAUUAUUGGUUGUUGUAAGGAACUGAAAUCUUUGUCUGAAGGUGUGAGACAUCUAACUUGUCUGGAGCGCCUUGAUAUCAUAUACUGUCCAAAGCUGGUGACUCUACCGAGUAGCAUGAAUCAGCUAGUUUCCCUUCGUCAUAGUUACAUCUAUUCUUGUGAUACAUUGCCAGAAGGCUUACAACAUGUCCCUUCCCUCCAAAGUUUGGAUGCGCGUAACUUACAUUCAAUUCCUGAGUGGUUGGGGGACUUAACUUCUCUUCAAAAGUUACAACUCCAAUGUGAGGGGUUAAGGUCACUGCCCAGUAGCUUCCGAAACCUGACAAACUUGCGUGAGCUAUCUAUUGGUGGGUGUCAUAAGGAGCUGCAGAAGCGAUGCACCAGAGUAACAGGAGAGGAUUGGCAAAACAUUGCUCACAUCCCACAAUUCAAAUUGUUUCCCAUUCGUCAAGAAACAUUUUCCGAUAAAAUCAGAUCCAAAUGGAGAUCAUGGCAGCUAAGAAGAGAUCGACGUCAUCAUCAUUUCGCUGAAGCUGAUACAUUUGACUAUCUGGUUGAAAGGCUCUUUCAUUGGUACAAAAUGUGAAAAUGGAUGAUGAUUGAACCCUGAUCAUGAGGUCAGAAACAUUGGAUGGAAUAGAAUACAGGAUGAUAUCCUUUUUGCCAUAAAUAUGUUGAAUCAACAGCCGCUUCCAUUUAGGCAAAGCUCAAGAGAUUUAUGGAUGCCAAUGAAUUACAGCUCAAAUGGCAUAGUCUUUCCAUACUUACCUAAGAGGGGUUCAGCCUAUGGGGGGAAGUAUUGGCACAAGUGAUUGCUAUCGCGACUUGUGGCCUCAUAUUUGCAGAAUGUGAUGUUUUAAUCAUAGCAUGGUUCCAAUUUCCAAUCAUGGCCUUGUAUAUUCAACUUCAUACGCUUGCAAUGCAGCUGGCUUGAAAAUUUUUCACAUCUUCAACAUAGUUUAUAGAAAUGGUCAAGGGGAAACCAAUUAUUUUCAGUUACAGUCGUGGGUUUCGCAAUGAUGAUAGAGUGAUGAUAGCUAAAGCAAUAGUCAAAAGUUGAUAGGAUAUAGAGAACUUGGGUUAUAGCAGGGCUUAGAGUUAUACGUUAGUUAGUUUGUUGUUUUUAUGAUCAAAAUAGUAGCAAUGACUUCAAAUUUGUAAUAAGAUGAUGUUGUUCUUCUUUUGCCUUUUUAAGAUGCAUUGUUAUUUCUUUGAA